GACGAACGCUGGCGGCGUGCUUAACACAUGCAAGUCGAACGGAAAGGCCCUGCUUUUGUGGGGUGCUCGAGUGGCGAACGGGUGAGUAACACGUGAGUAACCUGCCCUUGACUUUGGGAUAACUUCAGGAAACUGGGGCUAAUACCGGAUAGGAGCUCCUGCUGCAUGGUGGGGGUUGGAAAGUUUCGGCGGUUGGGGAUGGACUCGCGGCUUAUCAGCUUGUUGGUGGGGUAGUGGCUUACCAAGGCUUUGACGGGUAGCCGGCCUGAGAGGGUGACCGGCCACAUUGGGACUGAGAUACGGCCCAGACUCCUACGGGAGGCAGCAGUGGGGAAUAUUGCACAAUGGGCGGAAGCCCGAUGCAGCAACGCCGCGUGCGGGAUGACGGCCUUCGGGUUGUAAACCGCUUUCGCCUGUGACGAAGCGUGAGUGACGGUAAUGGGUAAAGAAGCACCGGCUAACUACGUGCCAGCAGCCGCGGUGAUACGUAGGGUGCGAGCGUUGUCCGGAUUUAUUGGGCGUAAAGGGCUCGUAGGUGGUUGAUCGCGUCGGAAGUGUAAUCUUGGGGCUUAACCCUGAGCGUGCUUUCGAUACGGGUUGACUUGAGGAAGGUAGGGGAGAAUGGAAUUCCUGGUGGAGCGGUGGAAUGCGCAGAUAUCAGGAGGAACACCAGUGGCGAAGGCGGUUCUCUGGGCCUUUCCUGACGCUGAGGAGCGAAAGCGUGGGGAGCGAACAGGCUUAGAUACCCUGGUAGUCCACGCUGUAAACGGUGGGUACUAGGUGUGGGGUCCAUUCCACGGGUUCCGUGCCGUAGCUAACGCUUUAAGUACCCCGCCUGGGGAGUACGGCCGCAAGGCUAAAACUCAAAGGAAUUGACGGGGCCCCGCACAAGCGGCGGAGCAUGCGGAUUAAUUCGAUGCAACGCGUAGAACCUUACCUGGGUUUGACAUGGAUCGGGAGUGCUCAGAGAUGGGUGUGCCUCUUUUGGGGUCGGUUCACAGGUGGUGCAUGCCUGUCGUCAGCUCGUGUCGUGAGAUGUUGGGUUAAGUCCCGCAACGAGCGCAACCCUUGUUCACUGUUGCCAGCACGUUAUGGUGGGGACUCAGUGGAGACCGCCGGGGUCAACUCGGAGGAAGGUGGGGAUGACGUCAAGUCAUCAUGCCCCUUAUGUCCAGGGCUUCACGCAUGCUACAAUGGCUGGUACAGAGAGUGGCGAGCCUGUGAGGGUGAGCGAAUCUCGGAAAGCCGGUCUCAGUUCGGAUUGGGGUCUGCAACUCGACCUCAUGAAGUCGGAGUCGCUAGUAAUCGCAGAUCAGCAACGCUGCGGUGAAUACGUUCCCGGGGCU
rnacentral:rRNA from 1 species